UCUUGGAAAAUGUGCAAUACGAGUAAUCUGUGUGUAGCACUCAGCAGUCAUCUAAGCUGUAGUCAGAGUGUGCUCUGUCCCCAAUUGCUAAAUGGGUUUAAAAUGACCAGACCAAUACCAUAGAACCAUAGGGCAUUUCAAAUAACCAGGUGUUCGUUGGACGGCUACAAUCAGCCUGGUUUUCUUUUCCCCGCGGGGCGUGUAGUACUGAACGCUCCAUAAGCGCGUGCAAACGAGUCAUGUUGGUUGGUGUUGCCAGUUUUUGAUCAAUGACGACUCUUGAGAUGAAUGAAUAUUAAUCUUGAAGUUGUUAUGCCAGCUCAGGAUCACCCGUAGCCUACACAGUAAACAGGUUUAGUAGCCUACGUGGAUGAGACAUGGCUAUGCUGGCACUGACUGGUCUUUUUUUGCUCAAUUUAUUACGCUUUAGCUGCGCGUCCUGGGACUGGGUAAAGCCAAACCAGGUGGAGAGCGAAUCUAUCCACUUCCAGGGUUCUGCCGCAUAUAAAGCGAAGCAACCUCCGCACAUCAUUUUCAUUCUAACGGAUGACCAGGGAUUUCACGACAUAGGCUACCAUGAUUCGGACAUCCGCACUCCAACACUGGACAAGCUUGCCAAGGAGGGAGUCAGACUGGAGAACUAUUAUGUGCAACCCCUUUGCACACCGUCACGCAGUCAGCUGAUCACUGGCAGGUAUCAGAUCCACACUGGUCUCCAGCACUCCAUCAUCCGGCCCCGGCAGCCCAACUGCCUCCCCCAGCACAUGGCCACCCUGCCCCAGCGCCUGCAGGAGGCCGGCUACGCCACCCACAUGGUGGGCAAGUGGCACCUGGGCUUCUACAAGAAGGACUGUCUGCCCACGCGCCGCGGCUUCCACACCUACUUCGGCUCGCUGACCGGCAGUGUGGACUACUACACCUACAGCUCGUGCGACGGCAAGGCGCUGUGCGGCUACGACCUCCACGAGGGCGAGUCGGUGGCCUGGGGCCAGAAGGGCAAGUACUCCACGCACCUGUACACGCAGCGCGUGCGCAAGAUCCUGGCGGCGCACGACCCGCACAGCCAGCCGCUCUUCCUCUUCGUGUCGCUCCAGGCGGUGCACACGCCCCUCAAGCCGCCCAAGGAGUACAUCUACCCGUACCGCGACAUGGGCAACGUGGCGCGGCGGAAGUACGCGGCGGUGGUGUCCAUCGUGGACGAGGCGGUGCACAACAUCACCUAUGCCCUGCGGAAGUACGGCUACUACAAGAACAGCGUGCUCAUCUUUUCCACGGACAACGGCGCGCAGCCCUUCACGGGGGGCAGCAACUGGCCCCUGCGCGGGAGGAAGGGGACCUACUGGGAGGGUGGCGUGAGGGGGUUGGGGUUCGUGCACAGCCCUUUGCUGCGACACCGGCGGAGGGUGAGCAAGGCCCUCCUGCACAUCACCGACUGGUUCCCCACGCUGGUCGGUCUGGCCAGAGGAAACGUGUCUCAGGACCCUGGGCUGGACGGCUACAACAUCUGGCCCACCAUCAGCGAGGGCAAGGAGUCCCCGCGAAUGGAGAUCCUGCACAAUAUCGACCCGCUGAACCGCAAGGGCCGGGGCUCCUGGAGGGACGGAGAGCAGGUCUGGGAUGCCGCCGUGCAGGCGGCCAUCCGUGUGGGGGACUGGAAGCUGCUGACCGGCGACCCCGGCCACGGAGACUGGGUCCCGCCUCAGGUGCUGGCGCACUUCCCAGGUGGCUGGUGGAACCUGGAGCGUGGCGCCGGUCACCAGGCCAAGUCAGUCUGGCUCUACAACAUCACCGGUGACCCAUGCGAGCGCCACGACAUGGCCACCCAGCGGCCCGACGUGGUCAAGAAGCUUAUGGCGCGGCUGGCGUAUUACAACCGCACCUCCGUGCCAGUGCAAUACCCGCCAGACGACCCACGGGCCAACCCUGACCGGAACGGUGGGGUGUGGGGGCCCUGGGUUGGAGACGAUGAGGAAGUCGAGCAAACUUUCUCGGGGGUCUACUAUAAGAGGGGCAAGAAUCGGAAGAGGAAGAAAUGCAGGAUCUGCAGGCUCAAGCCCUUCUUCAAGCGGCUGAACAAACGGGUCCUGUCCAACAGAAUGUAGCACUGAUGCUGUUGUUGUUGUUGCGCUUUGCAAACCAGAAACAUUCUGCUCACUGCCCUCUGAGCCUUGGCAUCCCACAUCUGAGAAUCCCCGAGAGGGGGAUGCAAAAGCCUGAACUCUGUUUACAUCUCACAGUACAACCCUGUAGUUUUUCCAUGUGAAUCCAGGGUGGAAGUCUUACGUUUUAUCUUCACUAGUCUGAAAAGGGCAGAAGCCUUUUGAAAUCCACUGGUUUUAGAACUUUCCACUUACAAAGCCUUGUCUACCUGAUCUGUACGGCAAUUUCACAAACAUUUCAUGUAUUCCCCAUGUGAUCAUCACACCACAUGGAACAUGCAGGAAAAAUGAAAACCCUCAAUGUGUUUAUAUAUUCUUAAAUUCUUAAUUCCUUAUUAUAAUUAUAAGUGCAUGUCUUGACAUUUCUGAAUGACAUAAUGCUGCACAGCAUUGCAAAAACACACACUGGAACUUGCCUUGAGCAUGUCAGAUUCCCCUUUAUGAUCUUUGUGAUAAAAUGCGGUCUAAAACAAUUAAACUGUUUCUCAGCAGUGCCUUGUCACAACAUCUUGCCGGAAUAUUCUCUGUUGUGUUUCCAUCUGAAUGAGCUUGUCACUCCCUUAUCCAAUGCUGCUGCAUUCCAACUUUCCAUUCCAAGGAAUAUACUGGAAUUGUUUCUGCGUUUGUAGCACAUGUUUAGUAUGCUGGCCAACAAUUCAGUCAUAUUUGAAAACAAACUGUUAUUGUGUUAUCUGUGAGUUGGUAGGCCUUAGUUGUUCUCUGAUACCAGAAAACAACUUAAAAGAAUGUAGAAUGUUUCACAUAGAAAAACUUAAAGAUUUCCCAUUUCCCUAUUUUGUCCUGGAAUCUGAAUUAUUUAAGUGCUAAUAUUGUUUCUAUCACCUCGUAAAGGUUCAUUGUUGAUCCUGCUUUUGACAUAGACAACUGUUGGACUUAAAUGGACACAAUAAAGGCCUAAAUGCUUUCACUUUUCAAACACAUCUCUUUAUGGGGUAUAACGACCCAGACUAGCAUAAGUGUUUGUGUAUUUGUGAAGAAUAGGGCACGCUGACCUUUAUUGAAAGGCUCUGGGUGGCAGUUUGUCACUAUGACAGGGCAUUUACUCCUGCCUUGGAGUAGAGUGCUGAGCGGAGUCGAGCCCUUUCAGACAACAAGUCUCCUCCGCUGGCAUUUAGUGACAGGUGGUGAAGCACCAGAUGUGCUCUCUUUUGUCCUUUGGGUUUGGGCUUCAGCCCGCUGGAGGAGAAGGGGAGUUCAGGGGGCAUGAAGCUGUUGUGUGUGUGCUAAGGAGAUAAGACUGCUGCCAAGAGAGGCUCUUGAUCACUGACACUGACUCGGAAUGGGACUGACUCCGGCAGGAGAACUUAUGAAAAGAAUUCUAUCACCAUUGAAGACUGCAAGAGGAGAGAGCAAUAGGCAUCAUAGAGAAGGUAGUCCUGCCCUACAAGGUACUGGCAAAGAGGAAAACAAUUGGCAG